rnacentral:lncRNA from 10 species
GACCACUCUGGCUGAUGUGUGGAGAAUAGACCGAAGGGAGGUAUAGAUGCGGGGUGUCCAGUGAGGACUGAACAGAGUUAGGCUGCAACUGUGUUCUACUUCACAGGGAAAUGUGCAGGCAGAGGCAGGCACUGUCGGGAUGGACAUCUUCAGAAAGCAUAUGCAAGUUGUCCUCAGUAUGACCAAUACAAGUGCAAUCAGAUGUCUGUUUUUGCCGAUCAACAGCACAAGCAUCUUAUAUUUCACAAGGUCCCUAAAAGUCUUCCUUAAUUCAAGGGUUUUGCUGAAGAACAAGUGUGAUAAUGUACCUGAAAGCUCUUGGAGGAGCUUCAAGUGUUAUGUAAAUGAAAGUCACCUGAGAACUGCUUUAGACCAGUGGUUCUC